CAAAACAAAGCAAGCAGGAAGGAUAGACGAAGUGAGAAGGCUGUACGCAAGUGACAUGGUGGUCAGGCUGUGAGAACAGACAGAGCGUAUGAAUGAUAAGCAUGGUCUACCGAAGUAGUCAAAGAAAACAGGAAUGGCAGGGCAAGAAAGCACAGUGUACCGCACUAAUUUGGAGAAAGCGGACAGGCUGAACCAAUCAGCACUUUACCCCUAAACCAAGAAGCCAUUAAGUGGAAGAAUUGACCGAGCGAGAUGACACAGCACUUUGUUUCA
rnacentral:ncRNA from 1 species